ACCAGACUCCUACGGGAGGCAGCAGUGAGGAAUAUUGGUCAAUGGCCGAGAGGCUGAACCAGCCAAGUCGCGUGAGGGAAGAAUGUCCUAUGGAUUGUAAACCUCUUUUGUCAGGGAGCAAAGUCACCCACGUGUGGGUGUUGGAGAGUACCUGAAGAAAAAGCAUCGGCUAACUCCGUGCCAGCAGCCGCGGUAAUACGGAGGAUGCGAGCGUUAUCCGGAUUUAUUGGGUUUAAAGGGUGCGUAGGCGGAAGGUUAAGUCAGCGGUAAAAUGUCGGUGCUCAACACCGGCCUGCCGUUGAAACUGGUCUUCUUGAGUGAGCGAGAAGUAUGCGGAAUGCGUGGUGUAGCGGUGAAAUGCAUAGAUAUCACGCAGAACUCCGAUUGCGAAGGCAGCAUACCGGCGCUCAACUGACGCUGAGGCACGAAAGCGUGGGGAUCGAACAGGAUUAGAUACCCGCGUAA
rnacentral:rRNA from 1 species